ensembl:rRNA 5S_rRNA 5S ribosomal RNA
UUUUGUAGAUACUGAAGGAAUCAGUGAGCUCCUGAGUAUCUAAAGGACAUGACUGGAUUAGUAUUUGGAUGGCAGACUUCCAGGAAAACCAAGAUGCUGCAGGAU